GCGGGCAGCAGGCAGGACACGUGGAAACGCAACCGCCAGGAGGAAAGGCGGGACACAGCGGGAAGGGAGGUUUGCCUCCCCUCUCUUCCUGUGGUGACCCCCACCUCACUUACAAAAAUCACCACCGACGUUUGGGAACCGUGCACGCCGACUGAAAGCAAAGCUCAGCUGACCUGCGAGGAGUCCCCGGGGAGCUGCCGCGGUGGUCGCCGUUGAGUCCGUCCGUGCCGCUGGGGCCGAGGCAGCUGGAGGAUGUGGUCAACGGGCUGAUGGGCACGGCUGUGGGACCCCAUCAUUCCCCUGCCCCGCAUGACUCUGCUCUCCCAGCUCGACUGCUCACUUCAGACUUCCCUUAUGGAAGGAGUUGCCAGAUAGAGCAAGUAAAAUACAGUGUGCCAGGACACAGGUUUAUUUCAACACUGGGAAGGCUCCAUUCCUACUUAAACCCAGCAGGGAACAGGGAGCGGUGUGCAGAGGAGGUGGCCUGCCCGGGAAGCCGGCCUUGGUGCUGGGACUGCAGGGAGAGGGCUGUGAGGAAGAGCACAGGCUUCAUGCACAUUGCACAGAGGAGGAGAUUCAUGGGGACAGCAGGCACUGGUUAGGCACAGCGGGAAGGUUAUCGAAGACAAAACACAUUUCUACCCAAGUUUAAAUGACCUGCUAUGCCCACAGAGCUUGAUCCAGAAGUGCACAGGUAGAGACGGGGUUUCACCAUGUUAGCCAGGAUGGUCUCGAUCUCCUGACCUCGUGAUCUGCCCGCCUCAGCCUCCCAAAGUGCUGGGAUUACAGGAGUGAGCCACCGCUCCCGGCCCAGAACUUUUAAUAAAUAUAAAUACACAGGUAAUUUUAACACAUAUUCCUGAUGAAAUCAUUAUUAUCUGCAAUGCUUUCAUUCUGCUUUUUCUCUUAACAAUGGCAUAAACAUUUUUCAAGGUCAAUAAAUGUUUUUCAAAAUCGCAUUUGUAUUAGUGGCUGUAUAGUUUUCUAUCAAAUGUGGAAUAAACUCAAUUUAUUUCUCCCUUUUGUUCUUGAACAUUUAAGAUCAUUGGUUCAUAGUUACUAAUCAUGUUACAACAAAUAUUCAUGUAUUCCAAAUUUUGCUCAUUCCUGAUUAUUUCCUUAGAUUUCCAGGUAUGGAAUAAUUAGGUUGAAGUGUUUGAAAUCUUUUUUUGUUGGUUUGUUUGUUUUUGAGAUGUAGCUUCCCUCUGUUGCCCCGGCUGGAGUGCACUGGCAUGAUCUCAGCUCACUCACUGCAACCUCUGCUGCCUGGUUCAAGCGAUUCUCCUGCCUCAGCCUCCUGAAUAGCUGGGGUUACAGGUGCGCACCACCACGCCCGGCUAAUUUUUGUAUUUUUAGUAGAGACAGGGUUUCAUCAUGUUGGCCAGGUGGGUCUCAAACUCCUGACCUCAGGUGGUCCUUCUGCCUUGGCCUCCCAAAGUGCUGGGAUUACAGGCGUGAGCCACUGCGCCCGGCCGAAGUGUUUGAAAUCUUUAAGCAUCCUGGUAAAUAUUGAGUUUUGUCAAUAUUUAGAAAAGUUGCAUGAUUGACAUCGCUUCCACCCAUGUUUCAGAGCAUCUGAUUUGUCAGACCCUCACCAAAAAUGGGCUUUUAUCAAAAUGUAAUAAAAAAUAAAUACAACUUUUCCAAUGACAAAAC
rnacentral:lncRNA from 1 species